rnacentral:tRNA from 1 species
GGAAAAGUGCCUGAAAAUUAAGGACCUCCUUGAUAGGGAGACCAAUAUGGGUUCAAACCCCAUCUCUUCCU